rnacentral:rRNA from 1 species
UACGAGUGCCUCAAGCGUUAUCCGGAAUUAUUGGGCGUAAAGGGUGUGUAGGUGGUCUCAUUAGUCUUCUGUCAAAUUCUUCGGCUUAACCGGGGGCUCGCAGGGGAAACGGUGAGACUAGAGGGUGCGAGGGGUGUGUGGAACUCAUGGAGUAGGGGUGAAAUCCGUUGAUAUCAUGGGGAACACCAAAAGCGAAGGCAACACACUGGCGCAUUCCUGACACUGAAACACGAAAGCGUGGGUAGCGAAUGGG